UACAGAGGAGCCAAGCGUUGUCCGGAUUGACUGGGCGUAAAGCGCACGCAGGCGGUUGCGCGCGUGGGGUGUGAAAUCUGGCCGCUUAACGGCCAGGCGCCAUCCCAUACGGCGCGACUGGAGUGAUGCAGAGGUCGAUGGAAUUGCCGGUGUAGUGGUGAAAUGCGUAGAGAUCGGGCAGGAACACCCGUAGCGAAGGCGGCGCUC
rnacentral:rRNA from 1 species